rnacentral:rRNA from 1 species
GAAACAUAACCAAAAACAACUCUCAGCAACGGAUAUCUUGGCUCUUGCAACGAUGAAGAACGCAGCGAAAUGCGAUACGUAGUG